GACAACACUGAGAUCAGGUGUGGCAUCUGUUUCAGACCCGCUCCGGCUUUCGAGGCCCAACACGUCCGCUUUUGGUGAUUUCAGCACUCUGGACAGCGAUGAUCCGAGGAUUCCUCUCGCACUUGAGGCAGUCUGACAGCAAACCAUGAAUGGGACAGUUUGAAGUAUGUUCAAGAAGAUCAACAAUGUAUUCCGUCCCAACCAACAUGGGCACAGGGGCCGGGACGCUGGGGCCAAACAGGACUACCACAGCGCCUGCACGGUCAGACUGGUCCGCAGCACGUCCAUGUUGGUGGUGGGGGAGAAAAGAUACACAGCCGACGGCUCGACUUUAAAGAGGAGCAAAAGUACGAGUCAGAACUGCCUGGAGUACCUGGAGGCGCUGGUGGCUCUGAGGAGGCAGUACACCAAGAGUGUGAGCGACCUCAAGAGCCAAGAGGCCAAAUCCAAUGUUAGUACAAAGAAGAAGCAGGCACCUCCACCACCGCAGAAGGACCCGCCUGAACCAGCAGCCAAACCUUCAACCCCUCUGGUUCCCAACGAGGAGGACACUCUGGAGUUCUUUGAUGCGGUGAUCGCCAGCUGUGACAAGGAACCUCUGCGAAAACCCUACAAGGAUGAUGGACACGCUGAUGUGGAUUUUAUAGUGGCGUCAACCUCGACUGAGCACGACCUUCACUCCAACUGGGUCUUGAAGGUCCCCCGUGUUGCAGAUGGCUCCACACACUCAGUAGUUAAAGACAGUGCCAUUGAAAAAAGCUCAGAAGAAGAAGAAGAACCAGAGCGGCUCUACGAGCAGCAGACUGCGUCUUCAGAGGAACCCGAUCCACCUGCCCAAAGUGGUAGAGAGCGCCUUCCAGACGCUGCGCUUCAAGCCCAAACUAAAAAAGCAGUGAAGCUUGAUGGGUAUUGGAAACAUAAGCCCCACCCACAAUGCUGGAAAAUCUCUUUGCUCAGGAGUUGAUUGAGCAAACUAUUUUUAGAACACUAAAUAUUAAGACUUAAAUAAACAUGUAAAGUAAAAGAUUCAAACAAAUCAAAUUCUCAGUGAGCUUGGAUAUCCGCUUUGUGGCACAAAGACAAUUUUUUACUUCUGUUUUACACCUUUUUUUUUUUGCUGUGGCACCAAAAUGUAAAUAUUUGACCUUAAUUUAACAUUUCCACGCUUGAUUUCAGUCAGAACGUUUGGAUUUUACAAAAGAGGGCUUGACUAGUUUUGAACAUGCUGCACAAAGAAACAUUUUUUCAUGGAGUUUUUCGGAAGCUUCCAUUCAAAAGGCCUUUCGAGCUGAACAAUUUAAGGGCUGUGGCAACUCUGAAAUUCUCCCUGAUUACAGUUAAAAGUUUCCAACCUGAGCGUCUCCUCUCCUUCAAAGUGUCAAUGCCAACUGUAAAACACAAGAAUGGCUCCUUUCAAGCGCUCAGCCCUCCGCACAAAAGGGUUUUAUUCCACAGACGUUCUGCAAAGCAAAAUUCAUGGCUUAACUGAUCUGAACGCUUCAGACUCACAAGCCUCCGUUUGCACCUAUUCUUGUUGAAUUUAAUCAGAGCUGAACUUAAAAGAUUUGCUGCAUUAACCUGCAGACCUCUUCGGCAUCCAGCAAUCAUGUUUAUUUGUGUUUAAACUCUUGUUUUUGAUGUUUAAGAUGCAUUAUAAAAAAGAAAUGACUUUGA
ensembl:lncRNA